GACGAACGCUGGCGGCGUGCUUAACACAUGCAAGUCGAACGAUGAACUUGGAGCUUGCUCUGGGGGAUUAGUGGCGAACGGGUGAGUAACACGUGAGUAACCUGCCCUGGACUCUGGGAUAACUUCGAGAAAUCGGAGCUAAUACCGGAUAGGACCUUGCACCGCAUGGUGUGGGGUGGAAAGUUUUUCGGUUUGGGAUGGACUCGCGGCCUAUCAGCUUGUUGGUGAGGUAAUGGCUAACCAAGGCGUCGACGGGUAGCCGGCCUGAGAGGGUGACCGGCCACACUGGGACUGAGACACGGCCCAGACUCCUACGGGAGGCAGCAGUGGGGAAUAUUGCACAAUGGGCGCAAGCCUGAUGCAGCAACGCCGCGUGCGGGAUGACGGCCUUCGGGUUGUAAACCGCUUUUAGUAGGGGAGAAGCGAAAGUGACGGUACCUGCAGAAAAAGCACCGGCUAACUACGUGCCAGCAGCCGCCGCAGUAA
rnacentral:rRNA from 1 species